CAAUCAGGACAAUAUAUCAUUAUCCCUUCUAAUAUAAGUUUUGAGAUUUGAGAUUAGGCAAUUUUUGUUGAAAACAUGCUCGGUGUCUUCCUAACUUUUGCGAAUUACAAGCACAAAGCCACGUCAACAUGUAAUCUCGAUCCCAUCCAUAUAGUAACAAACGACACUAAAGAUUUUUAACAGAAUGUCAACGUUUUUUAACAGCCGGUUCCUUCUGCGAGUUAAAAUACACAGCAGCAACUGGAAGCCCAAAUCCAUGUUGAGCAGCAAAUUGGCGGGUGCUGAAGUUGCCACGCCCACCUGGAGGUCGACUCCUUCCCAUCAAUGCAGCUUUCUGCUUGAACAGAGCAAACACGUACCGGUGAAUACCGGUGGGAGGCUGAGGUCCCAUGUAUGGCACCAAUUCAUGUCCUUUGGUGGCAUCGGAUCCUUCUGGGAUAUCUACGACAAUCCAGUGGAGCCAUUCUCUCCAGGUUGGUUCACUAGGACUUGGGGCAUCAGGAUCAACCAUAACCAUGGUAUAGAGAUCAGAGGAGAAACGAGAACCCAUGAUCUGCACAUGGGGCAUUUCGGCAGCAACAGAGGGCUUGAUUUCCCAGCCAUUAGCGAUUUGUUUCGAUCCAUAACGCACAGUGAACUCAGCAACCGGAUUGUACAUGUCAAGAACAUCUCCGAUCACUUUCCCAACCACCAGUGGCUCAAGGGACCGAGCCAUAGUUAUGAUCAAACAGGACCCAGGUGGUGCCUGUCGUGCUUUCUUGAGAUUGUUUCUUGUUUUGGGUCACACCAAGCAGCAGGAGUCACCUACGAGCUUUGAGUUUGAGACCAA
rnacentral:misc_RNA from 1 species